rnacentral:rRNA from 1 species
UAGAUACACCGGUAGUCCUAGCUGUAAACGUUGAGCACUUGGUCGGAGAGUCAUCCAUAGCUUUCCGGUCGCAGCGAAAGUUAUAAGUGCUCUCUAUCAAGAGUAUGGUCGCAAGGCUGAAACUCAAAGGAAUAGACGAGGGGUCACACAAGCGGUGGAGGAUGUGGCUUAAUUUGAGUGUACGUGUAGAACAUUAUCCUGGGCUAAACAUGCACGGAUUAACCUUGUGAAAGCGGGGGGAAGCUAUUGGGUGGAAAGUGCACCGGUAAGGCAUGGCAGUAUUCAGCUUGUGUAAAGAGAUGUCGGGUUAAGUCCCUUAACGAGCGAAACCCUUGUCACUAGUUGCCAGCGGGUAACGCCGGGGAAUAUUAGUGAGACUGCCGGUGUUAAACCGGAGGAAGGUGGGGAUGACGUCAAGUCCUCAUGGCCUUUUUGUCCAGGGCUGCACACGUCUUACAAUGGUGAGUACAAAGGGAAGCGAACUCGCGAGAGCAAGCAAAUCCCUCAAAGCGCGCACCAGUUGCGAUUGCAGGAUUCAACUCCCUUGCACGAAGCCGGAAUCGGUGGUAAUAGCAGGUCAGCAUCAUGCGGAGAAUAUUUUCCUGAGCAUGUUACACACCGCCUGUCAAGCCAUGAAACAGGGGACCAUCCGAAGUCGCCGCGGGAACCCACAAGGGAG